GAUGAAGAACGCAGCGAAAUGCGAUACGUAAUGUGAAUUGCAAAUUCAGUGAAUCAUCGAGUCUUUGAACGCACAUUGCGCCCCCUGGUAUUCCGGGGGGCAUGCCUGUCCGAGCGUCAUUGCUGCCCUCAAGCACGGCUUGUGUGUUGGGCCCCGUCCUCCGAUUCCGGGGGACGGGCCCGAAAGGCAGCGGCGGCACCGCGUCCGGUCCUCGAGCGUAUGGGGCUUUGUCACCCGCUCUGUAGGCCCGGCCGGCGCUUGCCGAUCAACCUAAAUUUUUAUCCAGGUUGACCUCGGAUCAGGUAGGGAUACCCGCUGAACUUAAGCAUAUCAAUAAGCGGAGGA
rnacentral:misc_RNA from 1 species